CUCUCUCUCUCUCUCUCUCUGUUUCAGAGAAAUUUAAAACCCUAAAAACUACAACAACAGAGUUAAAUCUUUCAAAAAUUUGAACAAAAAAGAAGAAAAUGAAGAGCAAGAAGCCAUUGCAGCAACUCAAGCUCUCCGUUCCGGCUCAAGAAAUCCCCAUUACCUCUUUCUUGACUGCAAGUGGUACAUUUCACGAUGGAGAUUUGCUUUUGAAUCAGAAAGGCCUGCGGCUUAUCUCUGAAGAGAAGGAAUCUCGUCCUUCAGAUAACAAGGAGCUUGAUUUUGAUUUCUCAUUGGAAGACCUUGAGACAGUCAAAGUCAUUGGAAAGGGGAGCGGAGGUGUAGUGCAACUUGUUCGUCAUAAAUGGGUUGGGACAUUAUUUGCAUUGAAGGUCAUUUCACUAACAUGAGAACCUUUUUAUUUUGUUUUUCAAACAUCAGACUUGCAAGGUGAUAUUCAAUAGACCUCUCUUUAUGAAUUUAUUGACUUCAAUUGUUAAAAUUCAUGCGUCCUUUGUAUCACAUGAAAAUAGUGGAAGGGAUGCUAAAGAUUUGACUGUUUACUUUUUUUUUUUUCCCUAUUCCUUUUAACCACAAGAAGUAUGUAAAUAGGAGCAAAUGACUUCAUUUUUACACUUGACAUAUUGCCUUGAAUGUUUAUAAUAUCACUGCCUCUAUCUUGAGUUUAGUUAUGUAUUAAGUGGAAAUUUCUCAGAUUAUUUUGGGUCAUUUCCACUUCCAAAUCAAAGUGCUAAGUGAUAAGAUAUAUUUGUCCAUAACUUGGAAGUUUAAUGAAUUCUAUAUUACAGGUCAUCCAGAUGAACAUACAAGAGGAUAUUCGUAAACAAAUUGUACAGGAGCUGAAAAUAAACCAAGCCUCCCAAUGUUCUCACGUUGUUGUUUGCCACCAUUCAUUCUAUCACAAUGGAGCUAUUUCUCUUGUACUAGAAUACAUGGAUCGUGGAUCUCUGGCAGAUGUGAUUAGACAAGUUAAAACAAUUCUCGAACCUUACCUGGCUGUUGUGUGCAAGCAGGUUUUACAGGGUCUCGUGUAUCUACACCAUGAGCGACAUGUCAUACAUAGGGACAUUAAACCAUCCAAUCUAUUGGUAAACCAUAAAGGGGAAGUGAAGAUCACUGAUUUUGGUGUGAGUGCAAUGCUAGCUAGUUCUAUGGGUCAAAGGGACACAUUUGUUGGAACUUACAAUUACAUGUCGCCAGAGCGAAUUAGUGGGAGCACCUAUGACUACAGCAGUGAUAUUUGGAGUUUAGGGUUGGUAGUACUUGAGUGUGCUAUAGGGCGUUUUCCUUAUAUGCAAUCUGAAGAUCAGCAAAACUGGCCAAGCUUUUAUGAGCUCUUGGAGGCCAUUGUGGAGAGCCCACCUCCAUCUGCUCCACCAGAUCAAUUCUCCCCCGAGUUCUGUUCAUUUGUCUCAUCUUGUAUACAGAAGAAUCCUCGAGAAAGGGCAUCAUCUUUGGACCUUUUGAAUCACCCAUUUAUCAAAAAGUUUGAAGACAAAGACAUUGAUCUUGGAAUUCUAGUUGGCAGCUUGGAACCUCCUGUGAACUACCCUAGGUAGUUUGUCUUGUGAUGUUUAUGUUGAACCUGAGCCAGGUUGGCUUGUCUUAUAAUGCUAUAUCGACUGACUUAUCUAGUAUAAAGUGUUCACAUCAGGUCUUGGCUAUUAAUCUUUAUCAAACAUUACAGAAAUUACCAUGUACUAUUGAAGCAAAUUAUUUACUUAUAUGGAUCUUGCCUUCAUAUUCAAAGAGAUAAUAUCUAAUUUUAGGACAGGUUACAUGAUCUUGCCAUUGUAUAUUGAUCUGGGUUUGUUUAGUCUUUCAAGCUCAAUGAACAUUGGUUUUGGAAGUAGGCAUAAUUUUUGUACCUUAAGUUCAU
rnacentral:misc_RNA from 1 species